UACGUAGGGGGCUAGCGUUGUCCGGAUUUAUUGGGCGUAAAGAGCGUGUAGGCGGCCUGGUAGGUCUGCUGUGAAAACUCGAGGCUCAACCUCGAGAUGUCGGCGGAAACCAUCUGGCUAGAGUCCGGAAGAGGGGAGUGGAAUUCCUGGUGUAGCGGUGAAAUGCGCAGAUAUCAGGAAGAACACCCGUGGCUAAGGCGGCUCUCUAGUACGGUACUGACGCUGAGACGCGAAAGCGUGGGGAGCGAACAGG
rnacentral:rRNA from 1 species